rnacentral:rRNA from 1 species
GACGAACGCUGGCGGCGUGCUUAACACAUGCAAGUCGAACGGAACGGCCCCUUUGGGGGUCCUCGAGUGGCGCACGGGUGCGUAACACGUGCGUAACCUGCACUUGACUUCGGGAUAACUUCAGGAAACUGGGGCUAAUACCGGAUAGGAAUACUUGCUGCAUGGUGGGGGUUGGAAAGCUUCGGCGGUUUUGGAUGGACUCGCGGCUCAUCAGCUUGUUGGUGGGGUAGUGGCUUACCAAGGCUUCGACGGGUAGCCGGACUGAGAGGGCGACCGGCCACAGUGAGACUGGGAUACGGCCAAGACCCCGACGGGUAGCAGCAGUGGGGAAGAUUGCACAAGGGGCGGAAGCCAGAUGCUGAUACGGCGCGGGCGGGAUGACGGACUUCGGUUUGUGAUCCGCUUUCAGCAGGGGCGGAGCUUGUGGUGACGGUACCUGCAGAAGAAGCACCGGCUAACUACGUG